CUCAGUUCAUGUGACAAGAAGAACUAUGUCAGUUCUGUAUCAAUGAUCUAAAUGAUGAAAAUAGAGUUUUGUUUCAAACAACUGAAAAUGUUCAAAGAGAGGCCAGUGAAGAAGUUGCUCAGUUGGAUGCUAUGAUAUUGAAAGCAGAUUAGCUAACUAAUGGAUACAGAAAUGACCAGCUGAUUUGGAGAGAUGUGGAGUCUGAUCUGUCAGUCCACAGUGCAACAACAAAUGUGAAGGACAGGAGUGUGAAACUGCUUCAGAACCUCUUUCCAAGAUGGCUUAUACAUUUGCUACCAUAAUGGUUCUGUUCAGUGUGUCUAAUGAAGGUUCUGAUCAAACUUUUUUUUCUGACUUGUGGAGACAGAAGAAUAUGUCAAGGCACUAACAGGAAAAUCCUGCCUCCUGAAACUUAAAACUUUGUUCUUUGUUCCUUGCUAGAACCUUAAUUAAAAUAACUGCAUCAUCCCUGUAGGUAUUGUUUCAUUACUUAUGGUAAAUAAAAACUUUGCACUAACUAUAUUCCA
rnacentral:lncRNA from 1 species